rnacentral:rRNA from 1 species
AGAGUUUGAUCCUGGCUCAGGACGAACGCUGGCGGCGUGCUUAACACAUGCAAGUCGAACGGUAAGGCCCUUCGGGGUACACGAGUGGCGAACGGGUGAGUAACGCGUGAGUAACCUGCCCUUGACUCUGGGAUAACAGAUGGAAACGUCUGCUAAUACCGGAUACUCAGCCUUGUGGGCAUCCGCAGGGUUGGAAAGCUCCGGCGGUCAAGGAUGGACUCGCGUCCUAUCAGCUAGUUGGUGGGGUAACGGCCUACCAAGGCGACGACGGGUAGCCGGCCUGAGAGGGCGACCGGCCACAUUGGGACUGAGAUACGGCCCAGACUCCUACGGGAGGCAGCAGUGGGGAAUAUUGCACAAUGGGCGAAAGCCUGAUGCAGCAACGCCGCGUGCGGGAUGACGGCCUUCGGGUUGUAAACCGCUUUCAGCAGGGACGAAGCGCAAGUGACGGUACCUGCAGAAGAAGCACCGGCUAACUACGUGCCAGCAGCCGCGGUGAUACGUAGGGUGCGAGCGUUGUCCGGAAUUAUUGGGCGUAAAGAGCUUGUAGGCGGUCCGUUGCGUCGGAAGUGAAAACUCAGGGCUUAACCCUGAGCCUGCUUUCGAUACGGGCGGACUUGAGGGAUGUAGGGGAGAACGGAAUUCCUGGUGGAGCGGUGGAAUGCGCAGAUAUCAGGAGGAACACCAGUGGCGAAGGCGGUUCUCUGGACAUUUCCUGACGCUGAGAAGCGAAAGCGUGGGGAGCAAACAGGCUUAGAUACCCUGGUAGUCCACGCCGUAAACGGUGGGUACUAGGUGUGGGGGACAUUCCACGUUCUCUGUGCCGUAGCUAACGCAUUAAGUACCCCGCCUGGGGAGUACGGCCGCAAGGCUAAAACUCAAAGGAAUUGACGGGGGCCCGCACAAGCGGUGGAGCAUGUGGUUUA